rnacentral:rRNA from 1 species
UACGUAGGGGCCGAGCGUUGUCCGGAGUUAUUGGGCGUAAAGCGCGCGCAGGCGGCCUCGCGCGCCCGACGUGAAAGCCCCCGGCUUAACCGGGGAACUGCGUCUGAUACUGGAUGGCUUGAGUUUGGGAGAGGGAGUGCGGAAUUCCAGAUGUAGCGGUGAAAUGACGUAGAUAUCUGGAGGAACACCGGUGGCGAAGGCGGCAUCCUGGACCAACACUGACGCUGAGUGAGCGAAAGCCAGGGGAGCAAACGGG